CUUGUACUAUAGCAUAGCCUGCCUUUGCUGGAGUGUGGUGAUUAGGCCUGGUGGAACUGCCAUCAAUAAACCAAGUGUGAUCACAGUGAGGAACAGGAAAGAAGGAAAUAGGGGGAAAUGGGGUGAAUGUCAGGUGGAUCAGAGAGAUGCAGUCAUGGGGGCCAGGUGUGGUAUCAGGAAUAAUGUGGGAGGCCGGAUUGAGGUCCAGGCCAGGAACAAUGGUAAUUGUAGGAGACUCAACAAAGAGUACAGCUGAAGGAGCUAGAGAUCAGAAAGUAUAUGUGUCAGGUGUGAGGAAGAAAAUAGAGUUUGGAAGUUAUGAGAACUGUAGAGAGUGAGUUGAGCAUAGUUUGUGAUUUAGAGGGCCUCUAAAAGUAUUAAGGCAGUGGCAGCCACUGCAUGCAGACAUGAGGGCUAGGCUAAAACAGUGAGGUCAAGUUUGGAUAAAAAGGCUACAGCGCACGGUCCUGGUUCUUGUGUAAGAAUUCCAACCGCACAGACCUGCACUUCGGCUGUGGGUAAUCAAAAGGGUUGGGAUGAGUCAGGGAGAGCUAGGGCGGGGGCAGUCUCUAAAGCUGUCUUCAAGGAAUGGAAAGAGGAGUGGGGAAAGGAUUUAGGAUCUAUGGGGUCAGCUAAGUUUCCUUUUGUGAGUUUAUAUAAUGGUUUUGUUAGGAUGGCAAAACCAGGUAUCUAAAGUCGAAAGUACCUAAGCAUGCCUAGGAAGGAAAGGAAUUGUUGUUUUGUAGAAGGUGUUGGGGUUUGAGAGAUCAGUUGGACAUGAUCAGCAGAGAGAGCAGGUCUGUUUUCAUGAGAAUUAUGCUGAGAUAGGUAACAGAUGAGGAAGAAAUUUGGGCUUGACUGAAGUAAUGGGAGCUGUCUGUGAAGCCUUGCAGCAGUACAGCCCAGGUAAUUUGCUGAGCCUAAUGGGUAUCAGGGUCACUCCAAGUGAGAGGAAGAGAGGUUAGGAUGAAAGGUGCAAAGGAAUAGUAAAGAAAGCAUGUUUGAGAGCCAGAACAGAAUAAUGGGUUGUAGAGGGAGGUAUUGAGGAUAGGAGAGUAUAUGGGUUUGGCACCACAGGGUGGAGAGGCAAAACAAUUUGGUUGAUAAUGUGCAGAUCCUGAAGUAACCUGUAAGCCUUGUCUGGUUUUAGGACAGGUGAAAUGGAAUUGUAAGGAGAGUUUAUAGGCUUCAAAGGCCUUGCUGUAGCAGGAAGCUUCCAAGGCAAUUGGGCAGUGUCGGUCUUCAGCUGCUGAGCCAAGAAGAUCUGGGAAGGAGUCAGAAAGCCUUGGGCCAGAGUUCCAGGGGCACUGGAAGUGACUGCCAGAUAUCUAUUGAGUACUACUAAGGCCAGACACUAUUCUAAGUGCUAGGCACACAUCAGAAAGAAACAGAUAUUUCUGCUCACUAUGGUAGUUAUAAUUAAAACAAUUGAACUCAGAGGUACAGUAGUGAGAGGUGACAGCAUGCUGGCAGCCCUCACAGCCCUCGCUCGCUCUCAGUGCCUCCUCGGCCUCAGCGCCCACUCUGGCCACACUUGAGAAGCCCUUCAGCCUGCCGCUGCACUUUGGGAGCCCCUUUCUAGGCUGGCCGAGGCUGGAGCCAGCUCACUCAGCUUGCAGGGAGGGGUGGAGGGAGAGGCAUGGGCGGGAACUGGGGCUGCGUGCAGCGCUUGCAGGCCAGCGUGAGUUCCGGGUGGGCGUGGGCUUCGUGGGCCCUGCACUCAGAGCGGCCGGCCGGCUCCACCGGCCCAGGGCACUGAGGGGCUUAGCACCCGGGCCAGCAGCUGCGGAGGGUGUGUCGGGUCCCUCAGCAGUGCUGGCCCAGUGGUGCUGCACUCGAUUUCUUGCCAGGCCUUAGCUGCCUCCCUAUGGGGCAGGGCUCAGGACCUGCAGCCCCCCAUGCCUGAGCACUUCCCCUCCAUGCCAUGGGCUCCUGCACAGCCCGAGCCUCCCUGACAAGCACCGCCCCCUGCUCCAUGGUGCCUGGUCCCACUGACCACCCAAGGGCUGAGAAGUGCGGGCGCAAGGUGCGGGACUGGCAGGCAGCUCUACCUGCGGCCCUGGCGCGGGAUCCACUGGGUGAAGCCAGCUGGGCUCCUGAGUCUAGUGGGGACUUGGAGAACCUUUAUGUCUAGCUAAGGGAUUGUAAAUACGCCAAUCAGCACUCUGUGUCUAGCUCAAGGUUUGUAAAUGUACCAAUCUGCACUCUGUGUCUAGCUGAUCUGGUGGGGGCUUGGAGAACCUUUAUGUCUAGCUAAGGGAUUGUGAAUACACCAGUCGGCACUCUGUAUCUAGCUCAAGGUUUGUAACUGCACCAAUCAACACUCUGUGUCUAGCUCAGGGUUUGUAAAUACACCAAUCAGCAUUCUGUAGCUAGCUAAUCUAGUGGGGACUUGGAGAACUUUCGUGUCUAGCUCAGGGAUUGUAAAUGCACCAAUCAGCACCCUGUCAAAAUGGACCAAUCAGCUUUUUGUAAAACAGACCAAUCAGCUCUCUGUAAAAUGGACCAAUCAGCAGGAUGUGGGUGGGGCCAGAUAAGAGAAAAAAAGCAGGCUGCCCCAGCCAGCAGUGGCAACCCUCUGGAGUCCCCUUCCACAUUGUGGAAGCUUUGUUCUUUUGCUCUUUGCAAUAAAUCUUGCUACUGCUCAUUCUUUGGGUCCACACUGCCUUUAUGAGCUGUAACACUCACCGUGAACGUCUGCAGCUUCACUCCUGAAGCCAUCGAGACCACGAACCCACUGGGAGGAAAAAACAACUCCAGACACACCGCCUUAAGAACUGUAACACUCACCACGAAGGUCUGCAGCUUCACUCCUGAGCCAGCGAGACCACAAUCCCACCAGAAGGAAGAAAGUCCAAACACAUCCGAACAUCAGAAGGAACAAACUCCAGACACGCUGCCUUUAAGAACUGUAACACUCACCGCGAGGGUCAGCGGCUUCAUUCUUGAAGUCAGUGAGACCAAGAACCCACCAAUUCCGGACGCAGUAGGAUGAUGGUUAUCAGAGGGUAGGAAGGGUAGCAGUGGUGGGAGGUAGAGAUGGUUAAUGAGUAUAAAAAUAUAGUUAUAUACAAGGAAUAAGAUUUAGUAUUUGAUACUAGAUCUAGUUUUUGCUACUACAACAAUGUGAUUAUGAAGGAAGAGAGAGACCUUCUCAUGUUGUUUUAUACUCAGUACCUGUUUUAAGAAGAAACAACAAAGAAGUAAAGCCAAAGACAGGCAGCCUGGCGCCAGGCCUGAAACCAGGCCUGGGCCUGCCUGGCCUAAAUCCAGUAGUUAAAAAUCAACUCAUAACUUAGAAACCGAUGUUAUUCAUAGAUUCCAGACACUGUAUAGAAGAACAUUGUGAAACUCCUUGCCCUGUUCUGUUUCUCUCUGACCACUGGUGCACGCAGCCCCUGUCACGUACUGCCUGCUUGCUCAAAUCAAUCAUGAUCCUUUCCUAUGAAAUCUUUAGUGUUGUGAGCCCUUAAAAGGGACAGAAAUUGUGCACUCGGAGAGCUCGGAUUUUAAGGCAGUAGCUUGCCAAUGCUCCCAGCUGAAUAAAGCCCUUCCUUCUACAACUCGGUGUCUGAGAGGUUUUGUCUGCAGCUCGUCCUGCUACAAUUACAGUCCACAAAAAUGUAUCGUACAUUGCAAAAUAAAUAAGACUAUAAUCUGAAUGUUUAUAACAAAAAAAAUAAAUGCUUGAGGUACUAGAUACCCUAUUUACUCUGAUGUGACUAUUAU
rnacentral:lncRNA from 10 species